rnacentral:rRNA from 1 species
GAUAAACGUUGGCGGUGCGCCUUAUGCAUGCAAGUCGUACGAAGUUAUAGUUUUCGGAUUGUAACUUAGUGGCGGACGGCUGAGUAACACGUAAGCAACCUACCUCUAAGUGGGGGAUAACCUGCCGAAAGGCAAGCUAAUACCGCAUAAUAUAGUCAAGGUAUACUUGAUUAUCAAAGCCUUAGGGCGCUUUGAGAGGGGCUUGCGUCUGAUUAGCUAGUUGGUAGGGUAAUAGCCUACCAAGGCGAUGAUCAGUAGCUGGUCUGAGAGGAUGGUCAGCCAGAUGGGGACUGAGACACGGCCCCAACUCCUACGGGAGGCAGCAGCAAGGGAUAUUGGGCAAUGGGCGAAAGCCUGACCCAGCGACACCGCGUGAGGGAGGAAGGCCUUCGGGUCGUAAACCUCUUUUCUCGAGGAAGAAUUUUGACGGUACUCGAGGAAUAAGUCUCGGCUAACUACGUGCCAGCAGCCGCGGUAAUACGUAGGAGGCGAACGUUAUCCGGAUUUACUGGGCGUAAAGAGAGCGUAGGCGGCUUUUUAAGUCAAGUGUGAAAGCUUCUGUCUUAAUCAGAAGAGGCCGCUUGAUACUGGAUGGCUUGAGGGCAGCAGAAGGAAAUGGAAUUCCCAGUGUAGCGGUGAAAUGCGUUGAUAUUGGGAAGAACACCAGUGGCGAAGGCGAUUUCCUAGGUUGUUACUGACGCUGAGGCUCGAAAGCGUGGGGAGCGAAGCGGAUUAGAUACCCGCGUAGUCCACGCCCUAAACUGUGGACACUAGAUAUGGGGGGUAUCGACCCCCUCCGUGUCGAAGCUAACGCCUUAAGUGUCCCGCCUGGGUACUACGGCCGCAAGGCUAAAACUCAAAGGAAUUGACGG